rnacentral:lncRNA from 1 species
AGAGCCAGGGCGCGUAUGGGUAGAUCAGCACCUGAAGGGGAGGUGUUAGAUAAUGAGGUGCGGAGUGAGGCGAAAUCGCCCGGAGCUUCUGACAAGUCUUCGGAACAGGUACCCGGGGGAGAUGGUUUUUUCCUUCAGACCUCUAUUUCUAGGAGUUUGUGACAAGUCUUCGAAACAGGUACCUGGGGGAGAUGGUUUUUUCCUUCAGACCUCUAUUUCUGUUAAAAGCGAUGCAUAUGAUUCAUCCCCGUCUAAGAAAUGUUCUCCAAUGAGACCACCAUUCUGGGAACUUCGGAAACAGUUUGGUGGUUCGCUGGAUGGUGAAUCUGCUUUACCUCCAUCAAAAC